rnacentral:rRNA from 1 species
UACGUAGGGUGCGAGCGUUAAUCGGAUUUACUGGGCGUAAAGCGUGCGCAGGCGGCCCGUUAAGACAGGUGUGAAAUCCCUGGGCUCAACCUAGGAAUUGCGCUUGUGACUGGCGGGCUCGAGUACGGUAGAGGGGGGUGGAAUUCCUGGUGUAGCAGUGAAAUGCGUAGAGAUCAGGAGGAACACCGAUGGCGAAGGCAGCCCCCUGGGCCUGUACUGACGCUCAUGCACGAAAGCGUGGGGAGCAAACCGG